rnacentral:tRNA from 1 species
UCGUUAGCUCAGUUGGUAGAGCUGCGGACUCUUAAUCCGUCGGUCGCAGGUUCGAGCCCUGCACGA